UACGUAGGGUGCAAGCGUUGUCCGGAAUUAUUGGGCGUAAAGAGCUCGUAGGCGGUUUGUCGCGUCGGCUGUGAAAACCUGGGGCUCAACCCCGGGCCUGCAGCCGAUACGGGCAGACUAGAAUUCGGUAGGGGAGUCCGGAAUUCCUGGUGUAGCGGUGAAAUGCGCAGAUAUCAGGAGGAACACCGGUGGCGAAGGCGGGUCUCUGGGCCGGUACCGACGCUGAGGAGCGAAAGCGUGGGGAGCGAACAGG
rnacentral:rRNA from 1 species